rnacentral:rRNA from 1 species
UACGUAGGGGGCUAGCGUUGCUCGGAAUUAUUGGGCGUAAAGAGCUCGUAGGCGGUUUGUCGCGUCUGCCGUGAAAGUCCGGGGCUUAACCCCGGAUCUGCGGUGGGUACGGGCAGACUAGAGUGCAGUAGGGGAGACUGGAAUUCCUGGUGUAGCGGUGAAAUGCGCAGAUAUCAGGAGGAACACCGAUGGCGAAGGCAGGUCUCUGGGCUGUAACUGACGCUGAGGAGCGAAAGCAUGGGGAGCGAACAGG